ACGGAGGAUGCGAGCGUUAUCCGGAUUUAUUGGGUUUAAAGGGUGCGUAGGUGGACUGUUUAGUCAGUGGUGAAAUGCUGAUGCUCAACGUUAGCAUUGCCGUUGAAACUGACAGUCUUGAGAGUGAUUGAGGCAGGCGGAAUGUGUGGUGUAGGGGAAAAAUGCAGAGUCACCCGGAGGAACCAAAAGGGCUAGGGCAGCAUACCAAGCCACAACUGACACUUAAGCACGAAAGCGUGGUGAUCAAACAG
rnacentral:rRNA from 1 species